rnacentral:rRNA from 1 species
CAAGGAUUCCCCUAGUAACGGCGAGUGAAGCGGGAAGAGCUCAAAUUUAAAAUCUGGCAGUGUAUUCUGUCCGAGUUGUAGUCUAGAGAAGCAUCAUCCGUGCUGGACCAUGUACAAGUCUCUUGGAACAGAGCGUCAUAGAGGGUGAGAAUCCCGUCCUUGACAUGGACUCCCAGUACUUUGUGUUGUGCUCUCAACGAGUCGAGUUGUUUGGGAAUGCAGCUCAAAAUGGGUGGUAAAUUCCAUCUAAAGCUAAAUAUUGGCGAGAGACCGAUAGCGAACAAGUACCGUGAGGGAAAGAUGAAAAGCACUUUGGAGAGAGAGUUAAACAGUACGUGAAAUUGUUGAAAUGGAAACGCUUGAAGUCAGUCGCGUUCUCUGGGAUUCAGCCUUGCUUUUGCUUGGUGCAUUUCCCGGUCUACGGGCCAGCAUGAAUUUUGACCAAUGGAAAAAGGCUUGGGGAAUGUGGCACCUUCGGGUGUGUUAUAGCCCCUUGUCACAUACGUUGGUUGGGAUUGAGGGCACGCUUCGGUUGUGCUUUGAUGCUGGCGUAAUGGCUUUAAACGACCCGUCUUGAAACACGGACCAAGGAGUCUAACAUGUCUGCAAGUGUUUGGGUGCAAAACCCGAGCGCGUAAUGAAAG